CUCUCAGAAUGUUCCAUCUCUUCAUGGAGUCGAGCUGAAUGUUCUCACAGACGAGAUGUUGGAGUCAUCUGCUCUGACAGUAAAGCUCAUCUGGAGAACUGCAGCUCUUCACAAACUCUCAACUGCAGCUCCACACAACAGCUGUCAGUAAAGAACUUUGGUCGUGGGGUCCAUCAGGCUGGUGGGUUCUGGGGGAGACUGUGCAGGGAGGCUGGAGGUUUU